ACGGGAGGCAGCAGUAGGGGAUAUUGCACAAUGGGGGGAACCCUGAUGCAGCAACGCCACGUGUGGGAAGAAGCAUUUCGGUGUGUAAACCACUGUCGUGAGGGAAUAAUGCUUGGCUCCGGCCAAGUUGAAUGUACCUCGAAAGGAAGCACCGGCAAACUUCGUGCCAGCAGCCGCGGUAAUACGAGGGGUGCAAGCGUUGUUCGGAAUCACUGGGCGUAAAGGGAGCGUAGGCGGAGAUGCAAGCAGUCUGUACAAUACCGGGGCCCAACCCCGGACCUGCAUACUGGACUGUGUCGCUUGGAUGGUGCAGGGGCAGGCGGAAUUCCUGGUGUAGCGGUGGAAUGCGUAGAUAUCAGGAAGAACACCGAUGGCGAAGGCAGCCUGUUGGGGACUCAUCGACGCUGAGGCUCGAAAGUGCGGGUAGCAAACAGGAUUAGAUACCCUGGUA
rnacentral:rRNA from 1 species